AACAUUUCACUGAUAAUACUCUUUUCCUAAAUCGUGGCAUUCCCGUUAAAUUAUUCAUACAGUGUUCUAUGAGAACAUAUGACAAUUUUUUAAAAAACGUAUUCUUCACAGCCUCUUGCAAUCAGCCAGAAUGCCAAUCCAUGGGUUAUUUUUCUGAAUCUUGCCAUCUGAAUGUUCUGAAUAAAUUUUACUUUAUUCAAUAAGUUUCACUGUUGUUUCCAAGCAUUUCUUUUAUGAUUUCUACAGCUUCACUUCUAUUGUAUUACGCUUCUAUUUUAUUUUUUCCCAGCGUCUUGAUUUCCCUUUAUAUCCGCCGUGUGCUUCACUUUACCGUUUUUGCAAUAUAUCGUUUCAGCUUUGAGAAAAGAUAUUUCCUAUGAUCUGAUCUUCUCUUGAUGUACUUAACUUUGUGACGCUCGUAUUUCUCUGAGUGACCUUUCUGAUAUAAUUCUUUGGUGUUACAUCUUGAAAGUGCCUGCUGACAGAUUUAGCGGAUGCCCUUUUAAUACCCAUCCUGGAACCACCCUGCCUGUCUAUAAUGCACUUUCUGCCAGCCCUGAAUCGUCUGUGUAGUGCAACAAUAACUCUUACGGGUGCCACUCCCUAGUCACCUCAUGCAUUUUUCUUUUUGGAAUUGUCAGAUGACUUUUUCAUAGUUAUUUGCCUAAAGAAAUCUCGAGUCAAUGUAAUAGAAACAUAUAGACAUCAUCACGUAGCCCCCGUCUCAGGAGGGAGGACUGAUGUAUGCCUUGCAGAGAACCAACUGACACCUGCAGACUCGGGGGUGCUGAUCAGGGGCUGAGAUGCCCACUCUCCUCCUUGUGCUUUUGGGCACUCUCCCUCCUCGCUCCCCAAGUUCUGGCUUGUGACUUUCCAGUGGGAAGAGUUUCUGGUUGAUUCUGGACCAUACCCUCAUUCUACCAUGGUUAUCCUUAACUGCAAUCCAUUUUUCCAAGGUAAUGGCAGCCCUGCCCUGCCACAGCGGCCUGAUGCAGUACAGGAACCUGUCUCUCCUCUAUGUCGGUGGAUUAAAAUGAACCAGACAGCACCAAAUCCUGGGAAAUGGUAGAAGCCAAGUAAGAACUGCCCCUCCUCCCCACACUUUGAACUAAUAUCCUCUCAUUUUAAUCAUUUCAUGCUUUAGUCUAAGCCAUGAUGUUUACUUUGUUAAAUAAAUUAACAUAGUACUUGGGAGGCUGAGGCAGGAGGAUCACUUGAGCCCAGGAGUUACAAGCUAGUUAGCUUGGAUCGUGCCACUGCACUCCCGCAUGGGUAAAAGAGGAAGACCCUCUCUCUAAAAAAAUAAAAAAUAUAUAAAUUAAGAUAAAUUGUUUAAUAAGUAAGAGAUUAUAAAGACCCUGGUAUCAUUCCACAAACAGACUCUGCCAUGUGCUGUGUGUUGUGUACUGGGUUACAGUGGGAAAUAGAAUAAAGUCUCUGCCCUUAUGGAAAUUGCCAGUCUAAUGCAGAAGAGCAACAAGCUACAGAAAAAUCCAUUGUCAGUAUAAUGGGUGUUGCCAGUAAAAAUGAAUGCAAAGCCAUGUGCAUUAGACUUCUAUUACCAAAGUCUGCCUGAGGUGGAGCAGGGACCUGUUUUAGGGGUCAGCACCCCUUUUCCACAAGCAUAAAAAUAAAGGGAAAUCUUGAAUACCUUCAAGAUAAAUUCCAGGCACCUAGCUGGCCCCGAGAAGUAAAUGAGUAAAUGAGUGACUUCAUAAGCAAGAAGGUAACGGCCCCCUAAAACAACAGCCAAGGAAGGCAGAGCCAUGAGAUGUUUGGUUCCCAAUAGAAACCAGAGAUAACAGCUUAACAUAUGUCCUUGAGUUACAUGGACCCCCACCAAAAGGAUCUGCUGGCACGGAGACCUCAGAUAAAGGGGGAUUGAGGACUGAACGCUCACCACUGUUCUCUUCUAAAUUUCUUCCUGAGGGGCCUGGAGGAAGUCAUACCCACGAGCCAAAGCUAACAUUCUUUUCUGCUGACCCCAAGUUUUGAAGCAAAGCUUGUUUUCCUUAACUGAUUGAAAAUCAGAAAAGUGUUAAAUCUUCCUAUUACCUGUAAGAUUCAGCUUCAAGAUAUCCUGCCUUUUUAGGCCAAAUCAAUGUUUGGUAUUGAUUUGCAAUUUUGCCUGUUAAGUAUUGAUUUGUGAUUUUGCCUGUAAUUUCUACUUUCUUGAAAAUUUCUCCUCACUUUACAAACCCUUGCUUGCAAGGCAUGGGGUUGGUUAGGUCUUAAGCAUGAGCUGCCUGGUUCUCCUUGUCCAGUACCCUAAAAAUAAAUACCCUCCUUUCUACUGCUGCAAACCUCAGUGUGGAUGUUUGGCUUUCAUGUGUUGGGUGAGCAAACCCCAGCUCAGUUGGGCAAUAUGACACAGGUUUCAAUGAGCCAAAAUCAAGGUGGGCUGGGUUUCUCCUGUGAAGCUCUAGAAGAGAAUCUAUUUCUUGGCUUUGUCCAAAGGGCAUCAUAUCCCUUGCCUCAUGGCUCUUUCCUCCAUCUCUAAAGCUAGAAACAGCAAACUGAGUCCUUCUCACAUCGUAUUGCUCUGCCUCUCUCUCCUGCCUCUCUCUUCCACUUUUUAGGGCCCUGAGAUUACACUGGACCAGCUGACUCAUGGGGAAUCCUCAGGUGAUGGGAAGACAUGGGGGAGCUGUAAGUAGAUAGAAAUACAAUGAGAGUUGUAUUUUUGAGGUGAUUGUUCAGAAUUAGCAUAAACAACAGAGGCGAUGGGUUGGGACUGGGACAGUGACAACAGAGAGCUGGUAGAGAAUGUUUCUCAGAAGGCAGGAGAUGACAAGGCACCUGCUGAAAAUGUGGUCUCCCACGUUUUGUUUCUAGUUACUCAUCCAAAACUAUUCAUCUAGUUACUCCAGUGGUAACUGCAGCAUAACUUCUGCUAGGAGGAUGAUAGCAUUUUAAUCUUGAGGGUUUGGUGUUUAGAAGUUGGUAACAAAAAUGCCACCACAGAUUGGGAGAAGACAAUCAGAAACAAAAGCCCUUGAGAAGCAGAUCAACUGAUUAUCCAGUUCUUCAUAUAAACCAAGAUUAUCUUUAAAAAUUGCAAGAAAAAUAUAGUUCAUUAUUUUGAAUGUACUAUAUUAGAUAUCUUAUUCUCCAUUUCUCUUUCAAUCAUCAUUAUUUUCUUCAAAAUGCAGCUCCAGCAAUUGUGGUUAAUGCUGGUGCAGGACAGGCUUUCAUGACCAUCAAAACUACUGCCACCACCAAAAUUCAGUGGAUGCCUGCGUGAGUUGGGGUGAAAUGGCAUCUUGAACCUUUCAAAUGACAUUCAUCCCAGAUGUCAUCUCAAGGAUAUGGACUUCUCUUCCAGCCUGUUCUACAUCCGUGGAAAUCAUGUCCUCUCCUGGGUAACUAUGUCCAUGAUCUGUGUUUUAUGAAUAUGGCCACAUUCAACCUCUUUUGGCCCCUGAGCAUGUGCUGGCUUGUGGAUUGUUUUUGUUGUUUAUUUCAUCAGCACAUGGAGCAUACAGAGUUAGUAUAUAUUAUUUAACAGAAAAACACAUUAUCUGGUCCAAAGGAAGGUGAUAUGUUAUCUCUUAUAUGAGGGUAGACUCCUCCAUUCGUGAUCUAAAGUUUCUUUGGAAGGAAAGGAGAUUGUGAUUUAUAAGUAGACUUUAUCAUGGAAAGAAAAUAUAUACAAUUAAACUUUUUACAAUCAUGAAUGAAAUAAAAACUGUGAAAAUAAAUUUAUACUGGAAGUCAUGAACAAGUGCAAAUAUGAGGGAUUGCAGGGGCUUUGAAAAAUAUAAAGAUGGACAAGAGAAGUUUCUUUACACAAUGGUUAGCAAAUUUAUAGAACUUAGCAUAUUUAUAGAGCCUCACGAGUGUCAUUAAACUACAUUAUGCAAGUAGGUUUAAGUAGACUGUAUAAUAGUGUCAAGGAUGGAGAACUAUAAUAACUGUUAAGAAUGGCCACAGAUGUUUUAAGCAAUGGCAAAGUCAGGGAAUAUAAUUUUUAAGACAGUGGAAGGUAAUUACACUAAGUGCCAAUGGCAGAUGAGAUUCUUUGUGUUAAGUAUUGCAAGUUGGAUCCCAAAGCACGUUUAAUAUUUUCACAAGGAGAUUUUCACAAGGAGAGUAUGCUCUCCUUUCAGAUGUAUUACAGAAUCAUAACUUGAAAUGUAAUGAUAGAUUUGUGUGCUCAGAGAAUGCUGGGUUAUGCUUAGAAAAAAGUGAAAAGGCAUUGUUGUAAAAAGCCUUCUAAGAAAUAAUAUUUAUGAAACUGAAGAAGGCAUCAUGUGUAAGUUUUAUAGUUUUAAGCUAACAUUUAUGUCUGAUGAUUCAUUAUGAAUUAAAUUUUGCAUAUGGUAUUGAUGUAUAAUUUUUAUUUUUUGUUUUGUUUUCAUUUCCUUGCACAUGAAAACCUGUUUGUCCCAGCACCAUUUGUUGAAAGAUUAUCUUUACUCUGUUGAUUUACCUUUGCACUUUCGUGAAAACUCAGUUGUCAUAUGUGAGGAUUUGUUUUUGCUCUGUAUUUUUUACUAUUGAUCUGUCUAUGUUUAUGUCAAUACCACACUAUCUUGAUAACUAUAGUUUUAUAAUAAAUCCUGAUGGAUAAUAAUAUUAGCAUGUUGUUUUCAGUUGCCUGUUUUGAGGCAUUUGUUGAGAUAAAAAAUUAUUCUAGGAAGAAUCUAUACCAAUGUCACCCCUCUCAGACAAGAUAUUGGUAAAUUUUGUCUAUGUCAAUUAUAUGGGUUUUCUUAAAGAAAAAGUAUUUGAUUUCCUUGAUUUUGGGGAUGAUUUUUUUGGUGUUUAUUUCAUAUUUGUCUGCUCUGUCCUCUAUUAUUUUAUUUUGUUGCUGCAUGUUUGUUCUUCCUUAACAAGAAAGCUGAAGUUAUUGACAAGAGAUUUUUUUUUGCUUUCGAAUAGAGACAUCUAUUACUAUAAUCUCACCACUCCCCAUGCCAUGUACCACUUUAGCUGCCUCCCAGAAGUUUGAAUUUGUUCAUUUUUUUCUUUACACCAAAAAUCUUUCUAAUUUCUUAAUUUUUAAUGUAUUCUUUGAUGCAUAGGUUCUUUAGAAGUGGGUUAUUAGUUUCCAAAUACUUAGAAUUUUCUAGAUGUUCCUAUUAGUAACUUCUAAUUGAACCACGGUAGUAAGAGAAAAUGCUUUGUGUGAAUAUUGAGAUUUUUGUUAUGACCCAAAAUGUGCUCCAUCUUGGUAAAUAUUUCCUCUGCACUUGAACAAAAUGUAUUCUUCUGUUGAAUAGGAUGUUCUAGAAAUGUCGCUUAAUGUUGGCUGACUAAUAUUGUUUAAAUAUUUUGUGUCCUUACUGAUUUUCUCUCUACUUGUUACACUAAUCACUGAGAGGGAGCAUUAAUAUAUUGGGCUACAAUUGUUGGUUUUAUUACUUCUCCCUAUGGUUCUAUCAGUUUUUGUUUCAUAUAUUUGGAAACGCCAUUAUUAGUUUCAGAAUGUUAAGUCCUCCUGAUAAAUUGAUUCUUUUCUUUUUUCUUUCUUUCUUUUUUUUUUUUUUUCUGAGGCAGAGUAUCACUCUGUCACCCGGGCUGGAGUGCAGUGGCGCAAUCUCGGCUCACUGCAACCUCCGCCUCCUGGCUUCAAGCAAUUCUCCUGCCUCAGCCUCCCAAGUAGCUGGGAUUACAGGUGCCUGCCACCGCACCCGGCUAAUUUUUGUAUUUUUAGUAGAGAUGGGGUUUCACCAUCUUGGCAAUGCUGGUCUUGAACUCCUGACCUCGUUAUCCACCCGCCUCAGACUUCCAAAGGGCUGGGAUUACAGGUGUAAGCCACCGCUCCCGGCAGAUAAAUUGAUUCUUUAAUAAUUGAUAAUGACUUAACUUAGAGGGCUAAUAUUAUUUUCUCUAGUAUAUAUAUUUAUCUGAUAUUAGUAAAGUCAUUACAGUUUCUUUUCAUUAGUGUUAUCAUGACUUUUUAAAAAUUUUUUCAAAAUCUAUUGAGUCUUUAAAUGCGUUUAUUAUAGAUAAAAUACAGUUUGCCUCUAUUUUUUAAAUUUGACAAUCUCUGCCUCUUAAUUUGGAUGUUUGCACCAUUUUUAUUUAAUUACAUUUUGAAAUUAAAUCUACUAUCUUGCUGUUUGCUUUCUAAUCGUUUUCUCUGUUCUUUUUUGCUCUUGUCUUCUUUUUUUCUGGCUUCAUUUGAAAUAAUUAAUUAUUUUUAAGGAUUCUUUUUUAUCUUAAUUUUGACUUAUUACUCUAACUCAUCACAGUCCCAGUUUGAGUGAUAUUAUACCAUGUUAUAAAAAAUGUAAAAAGCUUAUAAAAUAAUAAAAUUUUAUUUGCUCAACUCUCA